GCCAGUGUGGCACAAUGGUUUGAGUUUUGGACUAUGACUCUGGAGACCAUGGUUCAAUCCCCAGCUCAGCCA
rnacentral:tRNA from 1 species